rnacentral:rRNA from 1 species
UGGUGCGAUCAUACUAGCGUUAAUGCACCAGAUCCUAUCAGAACUCCGCAGUUAAGUGUGCUUGGGCUAGAGUAGUACUGGGAUGUUGCACCCU